rnacentral:rRNA from 1 species
AUGUCAAUAUGUACAAGUGCCAUUGAGCUUGCAGAAAUUGGCAUAAAGCUCAAAGACAACAAGACAAGAAAUUUGACAGAACUCGGCAUCCGCAAAGGACCCCUCUUUGGCGAGCUUUUCUUGACCCCACUGCUGCUAAGCAGUACACAAGCAUGUUGUCUUGUAAACAUGGCGGCUUUUGAGAUAUGCACGGCCGCAAGUGAUAUACAUGAUGAUGAAGGGAUGGCCGUCUGCUCAUACAUCGCCCUCCUUUCAAUGCUCAUGGACCGGGAGGAGGAUGUGCAUGAGCUGCGAAGGAACCAUCUUGUGGAAGGAGACCUCACAAACAAAGAGAUCCUCGAGUUGUUCAAGAGCCUUAGCAAGGACCUUCAUGGCGGCCCCUCCUACUUCCGCAUCAUGACCCGCAUUGAAAGCUACAAAGUCAAAAGGUGGAUGCGGAUCAAGGUGCACAAGUUCAUCUACAACAACUUCAGAACCAUUGUGGCAGUCUUCUCUGCAGUUGGUGUUCUAGUGGGCAUAUUCAAGACGCUCCUCUCUCUCAAGCAACACCAGUAA